GCUGGAUACCUUGCCUACCAUUAACAAAUCAAACCUAAACUACAUAGAUUAUGUCAAAGUAGGUAAUAAAAUAUCUGCAGAACUUAAAGCAGAGGGAGCAGGACUUAUAAUUGCUAUGACACACAUGAAAUGGAUUAAUGACAUCAGACUUGCCCAGAACACCCAAGGAAUAGAUCUGGUUCUGGGCGGCCAUGACCAUGAUUAUGGAAUCAAAAAGGUGAAUGGAACUUGGAUUGUCAAAAGUGGGUCUGAUUUCAGGAAUUUCUCAAAAAUAAAUAUAAGAAAGUUUGGUGCAUCAUUUCAGUAUACAUUUCAAAGGAUUGACAUUUUGAGGAACCUAGAAGAAGAUUCUUUUAUAAAAUCAGUGGUGGAUGAUUGUACUCAAAACCUGCAGGUACCCUUUGUUCAAACCGUAUACAUCCUGCAGGAGAUUUUACUAUGCAUGAUCUUUUAACUAUCCUUCCCAUUGUGGACCCACUUCUAGUAGUCAGAAUUACAGGAGGACAACUGUUGGAAGCUCUCAAAAAUGGAGUCUACAGAUAUCCAGCUCUUGAUGGAAGGUUUCCUCAAGUAGCAGGAAUGGAAUUUGGAUUUGAUCCAAAUGCAGAACCAGGGCACCGAAUUAUAAGAGACUCUGUAAAGAUUCAAGGACAAUAUCUCAAGAAGAACAAAGUCUAUCAACUUGCCAUUAAGUAGAGCUUAGCUAAUGGAAAGGAUGGCUAUGUAAUGUUUCAGAAUUCUCCUAGGAUGUAUGAUACAGAAACUGCACAGCUACUUUCCACAGUUGUUGUUAAUCACUUUGAAUCUAUCAAGAUUGUGCAUGGCAUCAAAAAGUGCAUCUCCGGUCACCGAAUGAGUUUAAUUACCAAGUCCAAAUCAGCAUCACUAACAGCCUUUGAAACAAGAACAGAUACAAGCACAUCAGUAGUUGCAGUGCCUGGCAUAGAAGGAAGAAUCUGUCACAUUUCCAAGGAAAUGAAGGAACACUUGCGACAACUAAGAAUGGCAAGGAAAGAAGGGCUAAACACAUUUCCCCCACUUAGCAAAGAAUGAGAAUUCUGACUCUGACUGACUGAAAGUGAUAAAUAAUGUCACCAGCGAUAUAGAACCUGAAACCAUAUGAGCUGCUACUUCAUUUGUUAUAUGUAUUUUGCAUAUUUAUUAUAAUUAUUUAGCUUUUCCUUUCCACUGUACUUAAAAUGUUCCCUUGGUUUGAGUGUUUAUUCAUUUGAAACAAUUUAAAAUAGUUCUUGCAUUCAUCAAAUCUCUCUCUAAGAAAAAUGUAAUACAACCAUUUUCUUGUAUUUAAAAUAAUAUACUAAUGUUUGUUCAUUUUGGAAAUAACUUCUGGUUGCCUUUGUUAAAAUGAUGUUUUUCAUAUUGUUGCCAUUUUACAUAUAGCUCUACUUGUAAUUAUAAUGUCCACUACCCAUAAGUACUAGCUUAUAGUGAAGCUAUAUAAUAUUUACAGUAUUAAAUCUGAAAGUUAUUUUUGUCUACUGACAUAAGCCUAACUAAUACAUUCAUAGAGAAAAUGCUUCCACCGCAUCACAGUAAAACUCAGAUUAUAGUAAUGGUCAAAGGAUGAUGAUAGACUGUGCUUGGCUGACUAUUGCAUGCCACUAAAAUGUCACAAAAUGGGAAAGUGUCAUGUCAAAUAUUCAUUGUUCCCUGUACGAUCACCACUUAGUACCAAUAAAGAAGAAUCUGUACCCUC